ACGUGUUGCUGACUCACACAAUGUGUUGCUGUAUUCAUGCUGUUCUUUUUGCCAAGAUGCCUGCUUGUGUUUGAUUCUUCCUGGAAAUAAAAACAAUCACAGACGUACAAAUGGAUGUAUGUUGGAAUGACCAUAUUUCAGAAUUUGGUGGCAUUUGGCAUACUUCUGAGACAUGUACUCAAAACUGAAUGCUGUGUGACAUAAACAGCAAUAGUGCUUUCAUGUUCUUUAGGGGUCUACAGUGUAAUGUUUCUCUUUGCUGUAUGUAUAAUGUUUAGAAGUAAGAAUUCAUGUUUUGUAAAUGUUGUGUUUUAAGUUGUGCCUUCUACUGACUGGGUGGUGGAUUGCAUUCACUAGUCAUGUCAAAGACCCGGUUCAAUUCUUGAACUGGGCACAAUGUGUGAAUCUCAUUUCUAGUUUCCCAAUGAUAUUGCUGAAGCAUUGCUAAAAGCAGGGUAACACAAUACUCACCCUUUCACUCAAUCUACUCUCCGUCCGUUGUUCUUUUUGUUUACAAGAAUCUGGCAUGGAAUAAAUGACACUGAAUCACA